AUGGCUUUAAAGAUUGGUACUAUCCUUCUAUUCUUCCUCUGUGGUGCUAUUCUUUUAGGAGACGAUCUGAAAAAUGUUGAUGCUAAAAUUUGCCCUCAAUUUUGCUUUGUUGAUCGUUCAUACAUGAUUUGUCCUUCUUCCGGAGAUAAACACCUCAAAAAUCCACCAUGCAACUGUUGUCUUGCUUCAACUGGUUGUACAAUUUACCAAAGUGAUGGAUCUUUUCUUUGUACUGCGCAUUGA